GGCAGGCCUAACACAUGCAAGUCGAGCGGUAACAGAAAGUAGCUUGCUACUUUGCUGACGAGCGGCGGACGGGUGAGUAAUGCCUAGGGAUCUGCCCAGUCGAGGGGGAUAACAGUUGGAAACGACUGCUAAUACCGCAUACGCCCUACGGGGGAAAGGAGGGGACCUUCGGGCCUUUCGCGAUUGGAUGAACCUAGGUGGGAUUAGCUAGUUGGUGAGGUAAUGGCUCACCAAGGCGACGAUCCCUAGCUGUUCUGAGAGGAUGAUCAGCCACACUGGGACUGAGACACGGCCCAGACUCCUACGGGAGGCAGCAGUGGGGAAUAUUGCACAAUGGGGGAAACCCUGAUGCAGCCAUGCCGCGUGUGUGAAGAAGGCCUUCGGGUUGUAAAGCACUUUCAGUUGUGAGGAAAGGGUGUUGCUUAAUACGCAACAUCUGUGACGUUAGCAACAGAAGAAGGACCGGCUAACUCCGUGCCAGCAGCCGCGGUAAUAC
rnacentral:rRNA from 1 species